rnacentral:rRNA from 1 species
UACGGAGGGGGCUAGCGUUGUUCGGAAUUACUGGGCGUAAAGCGCACGUAGGCGGCUUUGUAAGUUAGAGGUGAAAGCCCAGGGCUUAACCCUGGAAUUGCCUUUAAGACUGCAUCGCUAGAAUUGUGGAGAGGUAAGUGGAAUUCCGAGUGUAGAGGUGAAAUUCGUAGAUAUUCGGAAGAACACCAGUGGCGAAAGCGGCUCACUGGACCACAACUGACGCUGAGGCGCGAAAGCUAGGGGAGCAAACAGG